rnacentral:rRNA from 1 species
AACGAACGCUGGCGGCAGGCUUAACACAUGCAAGUCGAACGCCCCGCAAGGGGAGUGGCAGACGGGUGAGUAACGCGUGGGAAUCUACCCAGAUCUUCGGAACAACUGAGGGAAACUUCAGCUAAUACCGGAUACGCCCUACGGGGGAAAGAUUUAUCGGUUCUGGAUGAGCCCGCGUUGGAUUAGCUAGUUGGUGAGGUAAUGGCUCACCAAGGCGACGAUCCAUAGCUGGUCUGAGAGGAUGAUCAGCCACACUGGGACUGAGACACGGCCCAGACUCCUACGGGAGGCAGCAGUGGGGGAAUAUUGGACAAUGGGCGAAAGCCUGAUCCAGCCAUGCCGCGUGAGUGAUGAAGGCCUUAGGGUUGUAAAGCUCUUUCAGUAGGGAAGAUAAUGACGGUACCUACAGAAGAAGCCCCGGCUAACUUCGUGCCAGCAGCCGCGGUAAGGCACGACUGU